GAUGAAGAACGUAGCGAAAUGCGAUACUUGGUGUGAAUUGCAGAAUCCCGUGAACCAUCGAGUCUUUGAACGCAAGUUGCGCCUCAAGCCAUUAGGUUGAGGGCACGUCUGCCUGGGCGUCACAUAUCGUUGCCUGAUGCCAGUUUCCUCGUGAUGGGUGACUGUGCAGGGCGAAUGAUGGCUUCCCGUGAGCAUUGUUGCCUCAUGGUUGGUUGAAAAUUGAGUCCUUGGUAGGGAGCGCCGUGAUAGAUGGUGGUUGAGUGACGAACGAGACCCAAUCAUGUGAGACCCCUACCGAAUUUGGCCUUCAUGACCCACAUGCGUCUUUGGAACGCUCGUGACGAGACCUCAGGUCAGGCGGGGCUACCCGCUGAGUUUAAGCAUAUCAAUAAGCGGAGGA
rnacentral:misc_RNA from 1 species